AUACGUAGGGGGCAAGCGUUAUCCGGAUUUACUGGGUGUAAAGGGAGCGUAGGUCGGCAAGGCAAGUCUGAUGUGAAAACCCGGGGCUCAACCCCGGGACUGCAUUGGAAACUGCUUAGCUAGAGUGUCGGAGAGGUAAGUGGAAUUCCUAGUGUAGCGGUGAAAUGCGUAGAUAUUAGGAGGAACACCAGUGGCGAGGGCGACUUACUGGACGAUAACUGACGCUGAGGCUCGAAAGCGUGGGGAGC
rnacentral:rRNA from 1 species